UGAAGUUUUGCCAGACGAUAAGCAUGGAAGACAUUGGAAGUGUUGUAGUUGAAAUAUUUUGUAAAAGCACAGGUAAAAGCUUCAAUCGAGACGUUAUCGAAAUGGAAUGACUGUGCUGUGUCAUCAGAAAGGUCUGUAUUAAUAUAUCGUACUUUUAAUCGUCUAUGAAGUUACUACAUGCUCUCGUUUUGAAACGCAUAUUAAAUAUUUUGAAUUCCCUUCGCCUUCGGCGAGAUUGAGCACUUCGGUUUUCGCUUAUUCACUUUAUUUCUUUGGUAAUUUUGUCAAAUUUUAUUAAUAAUGUUUCGAAAUACCCCGUACUUUGACUUUUGUGACUAAUGUGCUUUUUAUCUUCAAUUUUAGGGCGAAAAUUUGACGAGAAAGUUGAUUCAAUACGGCGACUGGUCGAAGCGCGUGGUGAGUAUGGCUGUCUUUAUUCAUCAACAUCAACUGAAGAUAAAAUGAGUUCUUUGUCGCUUUUUAAGUCUUCCGUAUCAAACUACAACGUGGUAUAUCAUUGUUAAAGCUUUAUUGAACAUUUUAAGUUAAGUUUAGUUUAAUUUUGGUCAAAAUUUUGUCCGUAAUGAGCGAAACUCCUGGAUGCAUUUCAUGUUCAAUUUGAUAUGCAUGACCGGAGUUGGCCUAUAUGAGUCUUGUUGUUGUAAGCUUUUUAAGUCUGUCUUACCAAAACCAGUUACAUGUUGUAAUGUUUUGCAAGCUUUCUAAACACUGUGAGUUAGGUUUAGUUCAUGUAUCAUCAUCUGACUUAGACCUGUUUCAAACGUCGCCGCUUCUCGUGUACGUACUAGGGAACUUUAGAUUUGACUACGAGUACGACUACGAGUACGAGAUUCGUCAAGCUAAACGCAUGCUGUAUGCUUACGCCAUCCCGUACUGACGCUAAAAAGUCGUAGCCGUCGCCCAUCUGAGUACGAAAUUGUGGAGAAACCUCGUAGUCCUCACGACGACUUUUCAAAAAAAACAAAGAAAGUUGACUUUUUUUGGUUUUCCAAAAAUAAUUUGUAGCAUUUACAUAGCGUUUAUCCGGCGCAAAUAAUAUAUUAGUGCUAAAUAUCUGGCCUGUUUUUAAUGUUAUGACUUAUUUACACGUUUUGUAGGGGAUUUUAGUCGGCAGGAGAUUUACUUUAUGAAACUUUUUCUCUAGUUGUUGGUUUACUGUUAUAAAAGCAACAUUUGAAUGGAAACGAAAACGACUACGGUAAUUUCCUCGCACGCGAUCAAAUCUCGUACUCGUAGUCGUACUCGUAGUCAAAUCUAAAGCUCCCUACUAAACCAGGGACGCCGGAACGAUGUGAAGGCAAGGGGGGCAGAUUUUCGUGAAAGGGCACUUUUGAAUUGAUAUAUACUAAGAGAUGUUUGCAAAACAUCGGGAGUUGAACUUCGCCUAAUCAUGUUUUCUAUGUAUUGGAUGAUAGGGGUGUGAGAGGAUUCUCCGCCAGGCGAUUGUGCUAUUCUUGAAGCUCGAUGACUGCAUUUCUUGCGUUUUCUGAAGCAAAUUCGUAAAAUAAUUGCACUAACAUUUCUGACAAUUCGCUAUUUCGCUAAAGCAAUUCUUUAAAUUGAAAGGGCACCUUUGCCACCCUUGCCCCUCCUGGUAAAGGGCAACGGGGCUGGCUGCCCCUCCUGCCCCCCAGUUCCGGCGUCCCUGUGCUAAACGCAUUAGAAACAAUAAUAAUACGGCAUUUCAGCUCAUCUAUUGUUUUUAAUUGGUUCGUCACAUGGGAAGCGCGACGUUUGAAACAUGCCUUAGUAUUUGUAUUUAAAAUUUAUUUAGACACGGUGACCAUUCAGCAAGGGGACAACUUGCAUGUUAGACUAAAUUUUAAUCUAAGUAAAAGAGAAGGGAAUAAAACACAACAGUUAAAAAGAAAAUAAUGAAAUUAGUAAAAUUGCAAAAUUUGGUUGCAAAAUGUUGUAGAAACAGAAAAUAUAGCCUAGCCUUGCGAAGUUUGCAUAUUCUGAGUAUAUUUGUAUUACGUGCUGAAAUUGUUACCAUGCAUUUUCGGCUAAAAUGAAAUGGUAAUAAUUUCCGCACGUAAUACGAAAAUAUCGAGAAUAUGCAAACUUCGCAAGGCUAUAUUUUCUGUAUUCUACAACAUUUCGUAACCAAAUUACUGAUUUUAAUAAGUUCUUUACGGGAAUUUACUUUUUUGCCUAAAUCAAAAAUUAGUCUAACAUGCAAGUUGUCUAAAGUAGCUAAAUUAGUCCCUCAUGUAUGUCUCCUAUUUCUAAUUUCAGAAUCUUGUUUGCACGGUUAUGGGUAAAUCUACUUCGCACGAUCCACGGUCACCGCUGAAAGUACGUCGAGGCUACAUGGGUUAAAGAGAUGUCUGACUCAAGGUUGGGAAAUUUGCCUGCUAGCAGGCAGUAGUCUGCUUGCUUGCAGGCAGUGUGAGCCUGCUAACUGGCAAUAGUUAGCCUGCUAACGGGCAGUGUAUCGCUAAGAUUCGGGUGUGUUCGUUUCUGGGUUGAAGUUUUUCUCCUGGCGGUCUGUAGUCAGUACAUUUGGACACAAGGUUGACUUUCCAUGCAGACGCUUGCAAAAACAUCGAGAUAUUUCACCUUGAAAUCGUGUGAAUUUCGGCACUGACAUCUGCUAUCGAAAGUCGAUCUUAAAGAACUUAACAUAUGAGCUUUCCGUCACAUGGUUAAUGCAUGCAUUCGGUUCGGUUAUUGGUGGGUUUCAGUAAGUGUUGCAGCCCAACCUUACAAAUGUUGAUAUAUAUAUAUAAAGAGCAAUCUAUUUUGCUUCAAAUGCAAGACUACAACAUAAAGAAACUGAAAAAAGUGAAGAAUAUAUUUCACUCCAGUAACUCAUAUUGAUACCCACCAUGCAUGUAUUCGGUCUAUUGUCGCAGUCUGUUGGAGCCAUUGUUCUCCUAGCUCUUUGUGCAAGUGUACUGCUUAGGGACCGUUCAUUAUUUACACCCGGGGUUGAUACCGAAGAGAUAUGGGUUGGGGAAUCAAGUUUUUGACUGGCUCAUGGGUUGGGUA
rnacentral:lncRNA from 1 species